CUGCUGUUUCUGGUGAUCGCUUAUCUCAGCGGCGAUUUGCAUCCGGACGUGUUGGAAACCUGGUCGGUCGGCCGAAGCUUCGCAUGGGGUAAUGCCAAGCAUCCGCCAUUGAUGGGGUGGGUAGCCCGCGUCUGGACGCUGGUAUUCCCGCUAACCGACUGGUCGUUCCAGUUAAUGGCGAUGACCAACGCCGCGGUCGCGCUAUGGGCGGUCGAUCUGAUCGCACGCCGAUUCGUGCGA
rnacentral:misc_RNA from 1 species